rnacentral:rRNA from 1 species
UACGUAGGUGGCAAGCGUUGUCCGGAUUUAUUGGGUUUAAAGGGUGCGUAGGCGGCCCUGUAAGUCAGUGCUGAAAUAUCCCAGCUUAACUGGGAGGGUGGCAUUGAUACUGCGGGGGCUAGAGUACAGAUGAGGUAGGCGGAAUUGACGGUGUAGCGGUGAAAUGCUUAGAUAUCGUCAAGAACACCUAUAGCGAAGGCAGCUUACUAGGCUGAUAACUGACGCUGAGGCACGAAAGUGUGGGGAUCAAACAGG